rfam:Tauraco erythrolophus contig29658, whole genome shotgun sequence.
CCAAAGGCUCUUUUAAGAGCCGCCCAUUUAAUCUGUAAAAGAGCUG